rnacentral:sRNA from 1 species
UGGCCAUUACAAGCUUCACAGGAGGACAAUAUCAGUUAUCAGACGGGGAACCAUUUUAUUGGUUUAUAAUGUAUAUUAUAAGUAUUUAUUUCUUCAGUUGUACAUUUACAUCCUCGAAAGGAAGAUGGAACAUAUUUGAAAAUUAUAAUCAAAUAUGUGAGAAAAAAUCAAAAUAAUCCAAAUACACAAGAGACAUACACGUUGUAAUACAUAUGCCUUGCUAUUUUUAACCUGGGGGUGUUUCAUGUUUAAACCGAAGCUGUUUAUCAGAUUUGGUUUCGGUAUCAUAGCUUUACACACGAAUGUUACUUACAUGUACAUGAAUAGACAAUUGUUACCAUUAAACGUCCGUUCUUUCAUGAGGUCAAUUUAUAUUUUGAAAGACUCUCACCAUAUUUUUUCAUUGUUUAUUUUUUACAUACUAUUUUUGUUCUGUAUUCAAACAUUCACAGUUGCUUGUAUGUUUCAAUUUUUUUGUAAAUAUAUGUACGUCAAAUAAGAAAGGAAUAUUAUGUUUAAAUUCCCAAUCAUCGUCACGUUGACAGAAAGUGGUCGAUGAUGUGAAGAAAUAAUUAAACACUGGAAGUUUAAGUACAUGUUAUAAAGAUUGAAUAAAUAAAAAGAAUGGCCAGC